rnacentral:tRNA from 1 species
GGAAGAGUGGCUCAGUGGUAGAGUGCUUGCCUUGCAUGCAUGAGACCCUGGGUUCUUUUCCU